rnacentral:lncRNA from 10 species
UCGGUGGUGCCUGGACAAAGGAUCAAGAGAUGGUUUCCACACUGGCAAGGAGUAAUCUUGGAGACAGGAAGAGACUGGUGAUUCAAGAGAGAGUAGACAGAAGAAGGCGCUGUCUGGGGGAGACAGGUUAAUAUUCAUCUGUAGCCUGAGUGACCCCAAAAAGAUGACACUCUUCUGUCCACCAAAACCUUCCAGAGGCUUCCUGUGCUCACUUGAAGUAAAAUCCAAAGUGCUGACUGUGGUUACCAGCUCCCCGGGCUGGCCUGCUGCGGGACGGCUUCUCCACCAGCCUCCCGUUCAAGGCCUCCAUUUCUGCCACUGCGGCGUCUGCAUGGUUCCUGAGCAUCCCAAGCACAUUCCCACCUCAAGGCCUUGGUGCUUGCAGUUCAUCUGCUUCUCUCCUGGUCUAUGCCUGGCUGGUUCUUAUUUCUUUUGAAUUCGGACGAGGUGCACCUCAUGAGAGAGGCCUUCCUUGACCUCCCUCCUCCAUUCCUCUCACAGGCCCCAUCUGACAUGCUUGCCCUCCCCCUCCCCUACCCCCAUCCCCUUGUGAGCCCCAUGAGAGAAGGGCCUCUGUCCUUAGGUAGAUGUGAUUCCCCAGAACCCAGGACAGGACAGCCACACAGGAGGAAACUGACACACUUUUCUUAAAUGAUGGAAUAAAGUACUGACUGUGUUUCAAGCACUGAUGUGGUUUGGCUCUGUGUCUCCACCCAAAUCUCAUCUCCAGUUGUAAUCCC